rnacentral:tRNA from 1 species
AAGAUAUUAGUUGAAAUAAAAAUACUAAUUUGUCAAGUUAGAGAUACAAAGAUUAUGUAUAUCUUA